AACAAAAAAAAAUGGAAGAAGCAAAAAUAAAUCUGACAUUCAACUAUUUUUGGGAAGUUAUUGGGUCAAGAUGCUCUGGGAAGCCCAGUGGAGGGAAAUGGGUGGAAAUCAAGAUAUUGUCCAAACACAUUUCUUAUUCUGCAGUCUUGUUACACUGAGCUCACUCGAUUCAAAAGUUGUUUAUGAAGUAUUUUACAGAUGGAUGCGCUCUUUAUCCAAAAUGCAAACUGCUUAGCCAAGGGGCCUCACAUCUGGAUUAGUCUGCAGAUCAAAACAGAAAACAGUAGUUGCGUUUUUAAGCGGCUGCUAUCUGUAGCAGACAUAAUAGGAGUGAUGAUCACUGAAGACAUUUAUAUCAAUACAAUUUGCAAAUGAAAUUUAUUUCUCUAUUUCUGACAAGCCACAGUGUUCUGGUGGAAACAUUUCAGAAUGUUUGGGUGUCUGAUUUUCUUUAUCACUACCACAGUUGAAACUUAUUGCCUGGUUGCAUGCACUGGUAUUGGGAAAACCAAACCUGGUUAAAAACAGAAGAAUAGGUGUUUAAUGUGAAAAUUAAGUAACACAAGUUCUCACAUAAACUGCUAAUAUACCAAAGCCCCUUAUCCAAAAUCUUGUCUCAAACUAAAAGGAAGAUUGAAGCUUUUAGGAAGAUAGUAUUCCAGAAAUGCCUUCUGUGAGCCAGCCUUCCUUACCCUAACCCCUGUUGAUAAUUAACUUAAUUAAUUUCAUGUCAUAGGGAAAAGAAACAAAUUGAUUCCUCAGCCUAACUGUGCAGCACUGUUCUGCAAGCUUCGUAUCAGCAGGUUUACAGCGUGUUUACACAGGUUAUAGUCAGCAGCUAGUUGUAUUUUUGGCACAAACUGUCUUUCAUCUACACAUAAAUUAUCUUUUUGUUUCCUUUUUGCUUUAUCUUGUAAUUUAUUCUGUUGAUUUUUAAUCAUUUUUGGAAGCGGUAUGACUUUUUCUUGGAAUGCAUUGUACUAUCAUAAUGUUAAUGUGGACAAAUUUGCUAGCUGUCUUCAAAGAGCUCCCAUCCUGCAAGGAACACAAAAUGCAUGGCUUUAGAUAUGGAUCAGGCAGCCUGUUCCUACUGUUUCAUGGCUAGAGAUGGUCUAAAAAUGGUGAAACAGCUUCACUGAGCCCAAAAUAUUUUCUGAAAAGGACUUGGGUUCCAUUUCUCUGCCUCCGAAUCUGGUUUCAAGGCUGCUGGGAAACCCACUGCUGAUGCCUCUGACUGAGCAGCAGACAGCCCUCUGUGCUUGUCAUAGGUGCUCCUCAUGGAGCUCUGGGGCAGCUCUCCUGCUGUGCCAGCAGUCUUGGGCUGCUUCAGGAGUAUGGGACAGGAAUGCCCUCUCUGCAGUCCAAUUACCUGAUCAUCCAAAAAAGACAGCCUCUUGUGCUCCCAGUUCCUGGAGCACAGACCAUAGACCUAGCGCUUGAAAUCCUGAAACUGUCAUCAGAGCUUUGCUUUCAGUGUUGUGGUAAAAAGCUGGAAGUGAUGAGAGUCUGGCUUGCUCCAGUUGUCUUUGCUGGGAAAGGAAGGAAUCUCCACACCUGUAGUGCUUUCUCCUGCUCAGAAUCUUUAUGCUGGUGGAAGAGAGGACAAGUGUGCUAGUGAAAUGAUCCUGGUCAGUCCUAAACAGUGCUACUGGGGAAUCCUCACUGAAUUAUGACAAUCCCUAUAAACCAGUGUUGAAACAGCCCAAAAGUGCCUGCCUUGAGUUUUGCACAAGGUCAACUAAACAUGUUUUUUUAAAGUCGGGGCCAUAUUCCAGCUUACAUGAAAAUAUGCCAUCUCAUUCAUGCUACUGUAGUGUGAAUUGCACAUACAUAGUACUGCAGGGCAGUUGUUGAUCUGCUCCUUUUCUCCUAGCGUGUAUAGGAUAGCAUAGCAUGGGCUGUGCUAUGCUGUUAGGCACUGCAGCAGAGAGGAGGCAACUAUAGGAGCAGCCGAGUUCAAAGCGAAAGCUUUCUGCAGCCUGGAGGUUUUGCCCUCCUCCAUCUUCAAGGUUUUUGCAUCUGUCCCAUAGCCACCAGAGAGAAAGAUACACACACUCAUAUGCCAACCCACAACAAAACCCACACAGCAGAGCUGAGGAGCUGUCACCCGGAAGCUGACUUACCCUAAACUACUCUGCUAUUUCUCAUCACACUACAUCUGGGUCUGCUGUCACUGCUGCGUCCGGAUGAGCUAGACCCAGUUGCCAGGACUAGUUUGGCCUGGAUGUGCAGUGGUCUCUGGUCACCUCUUGAGGUUUUGUUUUGUUUUCCCUCUCAAUAACGCAAUUGUUCUAAUCUGAUGGAAAAGAAGUCCAACCAAAACAGCCAAGAGCACAGAACACCACUCUCCUUUUUUUAUUUCCCCUAUCUCGUCUAGAAGAGUUGAUUUCCAUAAUGUUUAUUUCCAACAGCCACUUCAGCUUCCUGCAUCUGAUGUGUUUUCACCUGUGAAUGGGGCAAGAGUGUGGCUGUGGCAUCUGCAGGAGGCUAGCUCUAACCCGGGAUUUACCCUGAAGAGGAAAAAGGUAGGAUAAAUGAGAUUUAGUUGUUAGGAGGCACAUCUGCCAGCAUUUUUUUUGUGUACAUGCCCAUCUGGUGCUGCUGUCAGAAUAAGGUGGGAUUGUGCAUUGCACUGUGCUACUUGCUAUUUAAGGUUUCCCAAACCCACCAUUUAGACCAGUGGGUGUUUACAGAUGUUCCAGUAGAAAAGACCAUGCACAUAUACUUACUUAACUUUAGAACGGGGUUUAAUCUAAUUUUUCAGAGAGAGAUCUGAUGAUGUAGUCAUACAAGAGAAGUCAAGUUUACCAGAGAAAGUGAGGUACAGACUUGAUGUGAAUACCAUGUUUGAGACUUGGGCAGCAGCUACAGGAUAGAAAAACCCCACAUGUGCUUGCUUCCUGCUAAGUUGAGAGAGUAGGCCUUGAUGGGGCGCAAUACCAAGUUUUUUAUUGACUAGAUUAGGUGUUGCAAAGCAGGAAAAAUAAUAGUUUUGUAUUUAUGGUGAAUCUGUAGUUUUGUAAGUAACCUGUACUUACUAAGUUCCAGAGCAAAUUAACAUUUUAAAAAUGGGCUUGAUUUUCAUGUAUAGCAAGACAUAAAUUCACAGUCCAUCAGCAGGGCAAAGUGGCUGUAUAUUCGUGUCAUUCAAUCCCACUUCAAGGGAAUUUUACUGUGCCAAGCAGCUUGAGAUGGUCUCAUGUCAGAGGAGCAUCAAGCCUUAUGUGAUUGCUUGUAUCAGAGGGCAGUCCCUAUAUCCACACGCAUCACAGUAAAACCAUGAAGCUGGAACUACAUUUCCGGAAAGUUACUAAAAAUACUCUUCCAGCCUGGUGACCAGCUUUCUCAAUAAAAUGUUUAUAUGUAGAAGUUUACUAGAUCCUGGCUCAGCUGCUCCAUUGGGAGUGUGAAUUUGGGAAUGAAAUGAGAGCACUUUCUCUUCUUCAUAAACCCAGCAACCAAGAGACUGAUGCUGAAGUUGCAUCAGCUGGUAACAACUGCUGGUGCCAGUGAUAUCAGGGAGGAAAUCUGUUGUACAACACGGGGCAGUCAUAUAAAUCUUUAAAGAUGUCGGUGGAUGCUUUGCAGGAUACGCAGAGCACACAGGAAAUGAGCAGAAAUCGUGGUGGCGGUCUUGCAGGCUGCGGCACUGGCCUGUCUUGGAGAACAGCAGGUCUGCACCAGCUGCAGCUCCUGAGAAGCUUUUCUUGGUGACUCUUUCUGAUAAAUAACUGGGAGGACACCCAGGCAAGGCGACGAAAUUCUGCUGUUUCUCUUUUUGCCUUUGCUGUGUAGCUCUAGAUGCAUAGCGCAGCUGGCUGAGAAGCUUUAAAUGAAAAAGAUUUUCAAAGAAAAAUACCUCUUGUCUCUAAAGCAAACACACCAACCCCUUUUUCUUUAU